rnacentral:rRNA from 1 species
GACGAACGCUGGCGGCGUGCUUAACACAUGCAAGUCGAGCGAGGGGGCAUCCUUCGGGAUGUCACCUAGCGGCGAACGGGUGAGUAACACGUGGGCAACCUGCCCUCAGCUCUGGGAUAACCCUCGGAAACGGGAGCUAAUACCGGAUACGACCUCUUUGGACAUCCUUCGAGGUGGAAAGAAUUUCGGCUGAGGAUGGGCCCGCGGCCUAUCAGCUUGUUGGUGGGGUAAUGGCCACCAAGGCGACGACGGGUAGCCGGCCUGAGAGGGCGACCGGCCACACUGGGACUGAGACACGGCCCAGACUCCUACGGGAGGCAGCAGUGGGGAAUAUUGCGCAAUGGGCG